rnacentral:sRNA from 1 species
AUGCAUGCCACAAUUGCCAAUGCACUGCACUUUCAUUGGGAGAUGAGCUACAAUGACGAGUAUAUGGUGUGGUUUCGUCCCCACACUCUUCGCCAUAUUAUAGAAGAAACCUCGUAUUGGGACACUUUGGUAAGUUUACAAAGACUGUUAUGUUAUAAAUGUACCUCGCUUCACAUAGUUUAGUUUAACCUACUAACACUACUCUUGUAUACUUGUGACAAGUUGAAUCGCAGUUGAGGAUUAUGGCGAAGUGUGAACCAGGGUCCGAGAUCUACACCGACUAUAUUAAUGCCUUGCAAUCUGUUGAAGAGAUCGGUCGGUUGACCUUGGACGAUGCACACGCUGCAGGCAACACAAGUGAACCGGCUGUGAAACUUCUUUCUAGAUUUUCAGGUUUCAUUCACCAGGAAGGUGUUGAGCCAAACUUGUUUCUCUCACUGAAAGCACUUGAAAGUCUCAAUCAUUUGGAAAGGUUGAAUUUGGAGCAGACUCAUGUCAGGGAUGCAGCUCUUAAACCUUUAUCAAGCUUCCAAGAGUUGAGAGACUUGUCUCUUAGAAGUACUUCCCUUACAGAUGUCUCCCUACACUACCUGUCAUCUCUCCCAAAGCUGACAAACCUUAACUUUCAUGAUGCUGUGCUGUCAAACAGUGGGCUCAAUUUAUUCAAUCCCUCAGCGACUCUAAAAAAGAUGGAUCUUUGCGGUUGUUCGCUCUUGACUAAGGAUGCUAUUUUGUCAUUCUGUAAAAAAUAUACUCAAACUGAAGUAAGGCAUGAACUUGUACAUAUCUUGCCAUCAAAGCCAAAUGGCUCUACCAGUCCAUCUUCAUCACAAUUCAUUUUCAAUUGUUUUGAAAUAGAUCAAAGGUUGAAUUAUAACAGAGAGGAGCUACUUUCACUGCAAUAUUCUUCUUUGUCUCUUGCAAUUUCUCUUGAUAGAGGCAGUACAACUUCCCAGUUGCUAAUGAAUCAAAGCUCUUCCAUGUCAUAAUUUACUGAUAUUAUUUUCAUAAUCAUAGCUGUUUUCCUUUUCUUUGAAAAAUUUGUGUUCAAUAGUGGCUCUCCUCCCUAGGGAAAAUGAAAUUGAAGUGGAUAACAAUAAUGGCUCUAACAUAGCCUCUUCCUUCAAAUGUAUUCCUAUCUAUGUGAUUGGGGAACCUGGAGCUAAAAAUGUCCAUUAUGUCUGAUCAAAAGGUCUAGCCCUGGGAGAGCUACAACUUUUUUUUUUUUUUUUUUGGAGAAAGGAGAGCUAGAACUUAAUUGAAAUACUGCUUGUGAAAGUAGCUGAAGCAGCUCUGAACCUUCUCUUAGAAUACCAAGAGGUUCAACACAACAGUGAUCCCAAGGAGCUCACUCUGAGAACAUUGGCAAGCUCUCCAAGCCAGAACCUACAAUGAAUUUUGAUAGUUCCAUUUUCAACAACAUAUAGACGAGCCAUACUCGAGUUUAGUGGACUCACGUACUGUUAACACAGUACUCGAGUCCAUGAAACUCGAGUAUGAAUCUGGAUGAUUUCACUUAUUUUGCUUAUUAUACCCGAGCCAUACUCGAGUUGUAGAAACUCGGGUACAGACUAAAACAAUACUCAAGCUUCUUAAACUCAAGUAUCACGUGGCAUUUUUUAAUGCCAAAUGCCAGCUCAGCCAGCGCCAGGGUGGAAUAGAAACUAAGAACUCGAGUUUACUAAACUCGAGUUUACUAAACUCGAGUACCAUUUAGAACUCAAGUUUAAUGAACUCGAGUACCUAAAAAGUGAUACAUUGCUAUUUAGUUCCGAAAUAGUGCUAAAUUGCUACAAAUUUUGCAAAAUGGUGGUAUUUGGCCAUUUUCACCCAAAUAUAUAUAUAUAUAUAUAUACACACACUCACACCAGAUUUCGCGCUGAUAAAGCAUGGUAAGUCAUUCUUUUCUAUAUAUUUUGUAGUUGUUUGAGGUAAUUUUGUUAAUUCAUGGAUAGUUUUGAUAAAUCAUGAGGACCUAUGGAGUAUGGAAAUAUGAACUUGUUCUAUUAUUCGUUGUUUUUUACAACUAAAAGGCAUCUCUUACAUUGAAAGAGGAGAUGCAAUAGAACUGAAUGCAAAAUAAAUCUUUCCACCAAUAGGACAAUACAUGUCCUUCAUGCUAAAUGUUUAUCUACUAAAAGUACAAUGAUGAGAAUAACUAAGUGCUACAAUACAAGCAUCUUUUUAACUGACUUUUUGACUGUAUAAUAUUCUUAUAAUUAUGUAUAUUUGUGUAAAAGACCACCAAACUUGUUGUGUGUGUGAAUCUUAUGCCUAUAUCUGAUUGAUAAGGUUAUGAUAUUCUACUUCAUCUGUUUUUGGCGAAGAAAUGGGAGUGAUAGAGCUAUGACUUUUGUCAAUUUGAUGUAAUACUUCGAUGUCAUUUAUCAUAAGAGAUAACUCAAUAUGGCACAUCAAGAUUUUUUCUUAAGGCCACGUUUUCUAACAAAUCUUUUGUUUGUCUAACCAAAGCUAUUAUAGUCAACUUUUUCUUGAAUAACCAUUAUAUCUUCUGUUCCAUAAAAUAACCAAGGGAUUCUGUUAUCUCCUAAGCUAUUCAUGCCAUCGAGUGAAAUCAUUUCUAUUAAUAUUUUUAGUAUUAAAUUCGCUAGUACCCCAUGAUCCAAAUUUUUCUAGAUCUAGUGGUUCAUCUAUAUUUCUUUUUCGUGAAGAAAUGUUUUAUUUUUCUUCUUCAUUUUCACUCACUCUCACUUUCACUUAACAUGUUGGUUGCGUGUGAGGAAUUUGAAGAUUGAUUAUCUUCAUCAUUGAAAACCAAACUUGGUUGUUUCAUGGUGGAAAUUUUAUUCAAGGAAAAAAUAAAAUUGUUAACAAGAUAAGAAACAAUUGUCUUUUUUUUCUUUUUCUUUUUUUCUUUUUUGGAGUGCAGAAACAAUUGUCUUUGAAUAUGAAGAUAUAUGGUCUAUAAAUACUCUCUUAAGUGUAUAAAUGGUCUACCCUAGAUCAUAAUUGUUUCAAUACAGUGAUGACCAUUAAUGAUAGAGUAUUAUUUACCUCUAUUCAAUUUGUUUAGUUUUUUUUUUUUUUGUUUUUUUUUUUUUUUAAAAGAAUCACCUUUAUUCAGUAUUGUACCCAAUUAACAGUACUUACCCAACUUGCUCCAGGCUCUUAGAUAUACUAUGAAACAAGUUACAAUAAAUUAUAGCAACAACAACCUCAAAAGUCGUAGUAAUACAAAUAGCUUUGUCAUAAAUCAUGAUGAAAGCACCUAUUAGAGGAAAAGUCGGGUAUAAUAAAACAAAACAGGGGCGGCGCCGAGUACAAAUGAGCUGAAUUUUUUUUUUAUUAUAUACCUUAAAAAUUUUGGAGUUUUAAAUUAAUACGAGUCUUUUAGAGUCUUUUGGCUAAAUAUUGCUAAUUCUGAAAUAUAUUUGCGUUAUAAGUACUGUUAUAAGUUAUUUGGGAAUUUGAGGAAAGAGAUUGAAUUUCGGCAACAGCGUUGCCGAAAUUCCAAGAAAAGUAGGAGAGAGAAUGAGGGAAAAGGUGGAGAGAGAAAAAUGGUGAAUUACGGCAACACUGUUGCCGUAAUUCGCUGCCCAAAUAUCUGCCCGGGCACUGUGAGACGAAGUGCUCUGAGUGGUGCCCCAAACAAACUAAAAAAAAUUUGUCCCUAUUGUGGCAAUACCAUAGCUGAAAAUGGGAGUGGAAAAAAAAAAGUGAAUACCGAAAUCUGGGAGGAAUUUAAAAAAAUAUAUAUAAUGUGCUACGUACACAAUAUUUUUAUAAUCUUUUCACAACAAAUCACAGGUAACUGGUUAUUAUUAAUUCAAAUUUAAAUUUAACAUUGAGAUUACUAUUUUAAUCCAACAAUAACAAUAAGUAACAACCUGACACUUAGAAUUUGUUGUAAAAAUAUUGUAAAAAUUAUGUGCACUUUAUUUCUAAAAAAACAAAAAAAAAAUCCCAAUUGUGGCAAUGGUAUUUCAGCAAUACCAUUGCCACAAUUGGGAAAUUUUUUUUUUUUUUUGUUUUUUAAAAAAUGAAGUGCACACAAUUUUUACAAUAUUUUUACAACAAAUUCUAAGUGUUAGGUUGUUAUUUAUUGUUAUUGUUGGAUUAAAAUAGUAAUCUCAAUGUUAAAUUUAAAUUUGAAUUAAUAAUAACUAGUUACCUGUGAUUUGUUGUGAAAAUAUUGUAAAAAUAUUGUGUACGUAGCACAUUAUAUUUUUUUUUUUAAUUCCUCACAAAUUUUGGUAUUCACUUUUUUUUUUCCACUCCCAUUUUCGGCAAUGGUAUUGCCACAAUAGGGACAAAUUUUUUUUAGUUUGUUUGGGGCACCAUUCAGAGCACUUCGUCUCACAGUGCCUGAGCAAAUAUUUGGGCAGCGAAUUACGGCAACGUUGUUGCCAUAAUUCACCAUUUUUCUCUCUACACCUUUUCCCUCAUUCUCUCUCCUACUUUUCUUAGAAUUUCGGCAACACUUUUGCCGAAAUUCAAUCUCUCUCCUCAAAUUCCCAAAUAACUUGUAACAGUGCCUAUAACGCAAAUAUGUUUCAGAAUUAGCAAUAUUUAGCCAAAAGACUCAGUCUUUUAACCACCUAGAAAAAAACUUGACCACCGUAAAAAGAAACUUGAACAGUGAACACCCUUUUAACAAUUAACCCUAUUAAAAAUAAAAUUUAACCUCUUCAAAAUUUUGGUCCAUUGAAUGUUGAACAAAAAAAUUGCAAAAAAUGCAAUGUUCAUAAUAUUUUCACAAUAUUUUCGUAAUAAAUCCUAAAUAACAAAUUGUUAUUGGUAAACAAAAAAAUAAUUUCAAUGGUAAGUUCAAAUUAGAACUAGUAAAAACUUAUCACCUAGGCUCUAUUGUGAAAGUAUUGCAAAAAUGUUAUGAACAUAGCACUUCUCAAAAAUUAGCCUAAAAGCUCAAAUCAAAUGUUUAAUUGUGAUUUUUUAAAUUGUGUUUUCAAAUUACAUAUUUUAAAAUUGCUAUUUCUUUUAUAUAUAAUAAAUGCACGCUUUUUAAAUAGCUAGUCUAUUAGUGCUUGCUUUAGCUUUAUCUGAAUUUGUUGGAUUUAUAUGGUAUAUUUUUUCAAAAAGAUAACGCAUUUUGUUUAUAUUAGUACUUAUUUAGGCAAUAUGUUAGUAAUUGAAUGAGAGGUCAGUAACUUAAUAAUUGCUUGGUUGUAUACAUUGAAAAAGAUGUAGCUGAUAAUAUUGAUAAUGAAACUAUCAUAUCACACAAUGAUUUCAAAAUAUAAAAACUUGUGAAAGGAAAUUUUAAAACUUUAUGUAUUGUGUAUUGUUUUAUUUUAUUUUUUUUUGUAAGGUCAAUAUAUUCAAGUUUUAUUAUUAUUAAAUUUUUUUUAAUGACCACUCUAAAAAAAUUUCUAGAGCUGCCACUGAAACAAAAAAGUUUCCCCCAAAACAAGUCAGCGUGACUAUAUAUAAGACUUUUGUGUGUGUGUGUGUGUGUGUAUAUAUGUGUGUGUGUAUAUAUAUAUAUAUAUAUAUAUAGAGAGAGAGAGAGAGAGAGAGAGAGAGAGAGAGAGAGUUUUCACUAAACUAGUAGCAUAAGGCUGUCUUAGAAGCACAAGACCGUUUCCUAGGUGAAAUUAUUCAAUUAUCCCAUAUGGUACACAUUUCUCUCACAUACAAAUGGAAUCCACGUAUAGAAGUUAAGGAACAUUGUUUAUGAGUGUUGAUCAACUUGCUUUGAUAUCAUAUUCAUAUAGGAGUAACAUCAUUGAAAUGAAAUUUGAUUGAUAUGACUUUUGAAUGGUUACAUAGACACAUAAUUUAAAAUUCAAACCUAAAUAGAGAUAAUUAUUGAGAUUAUAUCUCAUCUAUCCUGAUCAAGUCCUAUAAUUCUAUCACACUUAUGAUUUAAUACAUCUCAUCCUAUCGUAGGUAUUCUAUCCGAUGCUAAGGCUUCCAUUUAGAUAGUAUAUAUACAAAGUCGAAAAUUGACUACUUAGAACCUGUGUCAAUAUAUAUCCAUGUCCCCUCUAAUGCAUAGGUGUAAUAGAGGCAAGCCAAACCCUCCAUCACAAAAUAAGGCACUUAAUAAUUCCUUCAAAACCAGACAAAAAGGAAGAAGGAACAAAUUGUCCGUCCCUGACUCACAUAUCAAUGUAACGGAUAAGGAUCCAACCCAAACAAUAGGACCAACAAAUACCCACCUAUCAUCUUUACCCACUCCUUCACUCACACCAUGUUAGCAAACUCCAAACGCAUCAAAACUAAUUCUGAUUCCUUUUGGAAUAUUUGGAAUGAAAACAGUAGCAACAAGAAAAAGAAUGAGAAGAAGAAGAAGAAGCAUUUCCCAGUUAGUAAAGUUCUCCACAACAACCCCAAGAAGGCAGAAGAAAUAGUGUUGGGCCCAGGAGGUGGUGUCGGGAUUGGGUGUGGUGUUGGAUUGGGCUUUGGAUUGGUUGGGGGGAUUGGCUAUGGUGGCUGGCCCUGGAACCAUUUGCAGCUGGUUAUUGGGGUUGGAAUUGGUUGUGGUGUUGGUGUUGGGUUCGGAUAUGGGCAAGGGAUUGGAUAUGGUUUUAGUUUGGAGUCCUUGGAGUCAUACUUGUCUAAGCAGAGCUCUUCAGAUUCAAAGAAGAGAGUUGUAAUUGAGAUAUGAAGAGCAUUGAGCAUGUUUUCAUCUAACAUUUCCAAUUGUUGUUCAAAUCUUUAUGCUUGUUGAAUUAUUUAAUUUUUACUACCAAAGGUUAUUCAAAGUAGGAUUGUGAGUAAUGGACCUACAGCUACCCUUGGGCAGUCUGAGCGCACCACUGGUUCAUAGAUUUCAAUAUGCUAGCUGAAAAGCCUGAAAUCAAUAAUCGGAUAAUUUGUGCUCACACAAAGCCUCAACACACACCCACAAUAGGGCUGGAACAUAAUGGCCCAACUAAUCAUAUAUAUCAUAUGUUAUAUUAACACUGAAUCACCAUUAGAAUCUAAAUUGAAUAUAAAUUAGUUUUUAAUUGUUGUUUAAUUUUGUGCUAUAUAUUUAAAUUUUUUUUUUUUUUAAUUUUGAUAUCGAGUGAUCCAUUCAUAAUAGUUAACAUGAAAACUGAAAUAACCACAUCAUUAUCAAUAUUGUUGAAUGUUUCCAUGCAUAAGCACAAAUUACAGUCUAGUUUAUAGAUUAUAAUCUAGGUACAAGGAUAAAGUUUCUAUACAAACGGGUUUGGAGGAAGUUCCUCCAAACAGCUAGGUGGCAAUCUUAAACAAUGAUAAGUGUCUUGGUCAUGUGCAUCAGCAAGAGGUCUGUCACCAUAAAUUUCAAACAAUCCAAAGAUCACAUGGUUCCCAGCGAGUGCUGCCAUACAGAAAUGAACGACAUAUAAUGGUCAGCAGAUAUAGAAUCAUCUUUAGCAAUAUAAAUAUACAUACUGAGUAGAACUGUUUCUUUAGUCAGUUUUCAAUAUUCUCCUAUGUCUCGUGUUGCUUGGAUACAUGACAUCCUUAAGACAUAAGACCUCCAAUUAUUUUUAAAACCUUGUUAAAAAACUUCAUAUGACAAAGAAAUAAGGAGAAAGUAGCUUAUGGGACACUCUCCAUGACAGAAACUUGUUUGGUGAGACUACCCACUAAAAAUUGGACAUAUGUAGCAAAAUAAAAACAUCAUAAUACCUUUAAAAUUUUCAAUAACCCGCCCAUUUUUCCCACUUUUUUGUCACUAAAACUGACAAAGCGCUUUUCUUUUUUUCAAUAUUCGAAAACACAACUCUCUCAAAAAACAAGAAAUACACUCUCUAUCACUUCUAGCCAAUGGAAAAUCACAUCUACCAUUGCCGACAAUCUCACUCCACCUAGAAAAAUUCCGACAACUUCUCCAGCCUGAUGGAAACACCUCGAAACACCGGAGUAGAGGAUUUUGCAAUUAAACGACAAUGGACUAACUAUUUCAACCACCCACCUCACCUCUAUUUCAAAAUCCUCCUGAAAAAAAUGUGAUUAGAUAUGGUGAGGACAUUUUGAAGUCACAUUUUUGGUUUUUUUGUUAUUGCAUUGUAUCAUUUCUUUUAUUUGUAGCACUUCUUUUUUUUUUUUUUUUUUUAGUUCAUCAAAUGACCUCCUAAAAGGAACUCAUUUCCUUCAUUUCUAAUUAGGGCCUUAUUGAACCAAUAGUAAGUUUGUUAAGUGGCUAUUCCAUUUUUUAUUCAUUUUGACAAAUUUCUUUGGUUGUUUUUUAAUUUCUAUAUUGUUGCUAUGCAGGACCUUUGUUUUUAAUUGGAGGUGCAACCACUUCUCAAGUUCCAGAAGCUAGUUCUAUGAUGCAUGGUAAUUUCAGUUCUAUUAAUUCAAAUAUUGUUUUCCUUAGUUUUAUCAAUUAAUUUUAAUUUUAUUUCUAUUCCUCUUUGUCUAGGAGAAUCUGCAACCUUGUUUUUUCCACUUGAGACGUGUUGUGAUUACCUAUGGUUAGCUCAAAAAGAAUGUUUCAAGAAAGUUUUUUUUUCCACAAUUGAAUCAAGUACUUUCUAAUUUCUAUAACUGAAGUUCAUCACAUUCUUUUAUUUAUUAUUUUUUUUUUAAUUAUGAUAUUUUUUAUGUCGAGCUCUAACACAUCAAAGGAUGACACAAGACUUUGAAGAAUCUUGGAUAGCUUUUAUGACAACUUUUUGGACAAUUUUUUGUGAAGCAUGUUAGAUAAUUUUUUUUCUAGACAAACAACUUUUUGGAUGGAUUUAUGCACAACUUGUAGCCGCUUUUUUGAUGGCUUUAUGCACAGCUUGUAGCUGCUUUUUGGAUGACUUUAUGCACAGCUUGUUUAGAUAGCUUUAUGCACAGCUUCUAGCCGCUUUUUAGAUGGCUUUAUGCAUAGCGUGUAGCCGCUUUUUGGAUAGUUUUAUGCACAGCUUCUAGCCACUUUAUUUAGAUAGAUUUAUGCACAAUAUGUAAUAGCUUUUUGGACAAUAUUUGUAGCUAACUUAUGAAACUAUUCCAACUUAGAGUUGCUAACUAUACACUUAUCAUAUAUGUGAGAAUGAAUAUUUCUUUCACUAAAAUCUUUAUGGUUUUAUUUGCCACUGAAAGCUUGAAUUUGUGUGAAAACACAAGAGCUGUUUAGACCCCUAAAUUAAAAUUACGGCUCGGUUGAUUUUACUCUAACUUAAACUAAGUGCGAAAUAGAGUAAAUGCGAGCAGAUAAACAAUAUAACUACUCUAAGCUAUAUUUAUCAAAUCACAACAGUAAAAUGAAAGCUAAAAGAGUAGGGAAGAAGAAUGCAAACACAAGAUAACAUGCCUAUGUGUUAUUGAAGAGGGAAUCGAAGAACUCAGCGAAAAACUUCUCUGCCGACCUCCAAGCAGUAAAUCGAUCCACUAGAGAAUAAGUUGGAGUACGCAAAUAACAAAAAACCCGCCAAGCCUAGUUUACCCAAUGUACUCGAGCUCUCCAAACUCCUGCUACCAACUGACUUAACGAAGCCUUGUCUUCUCUAGCUCUCUGGAUAAUGCAAUUCAGCCCAGUUGCAUCUAUCAAACAAAUGGCUUCUUCCAAUGCUUCCUAACAACACCAAAACCUUACUUUACACUUAGGAUGGGUGUGGUAAGUGUUUGGGCUAUCAACCUCUCAAGGAUUUGGAAAUGGAGAGGUAGGAGUUGAGAAAAACCACAAUGGAUUGUGUAGAGAAUUGUGGGUAUGACAAUCUCUCACUCUCAAGGGUAGUGGCUAGGGUUUUCUCUCUGAAAAGUACUCCUCAACAUAUGUGGGUAAUGUGGAUAUAUAUAGUGUGGGUAGAGACCUCGUGUAUCAGAUACAAACAGAAUGUUUUGCAGGUAUCUCGCGAAAAGGCCUUACUCGCAAGACACUCACGAAAACCAACUAUCACCAUCUAUUAUGACUAUCUACAUUCCAGUCAUGUGCUGAGCACAUGCUUCACUUCACGGGAAGGCUUCUCACGAGCUACCAAUGAAAACUUCUUUGGUCUUCAAUUUGCCUUAAGUCUUCACACUCUCUCUCACAUAACCCUUACAAUGAAAUCCCACAUAAAAUACAGGGUACAAAAGAUUGAAUAAAAUUACAAUCAAAUUUGGCACGAAAUUAAAGCCAACACAAAUAAGUUGUAAAUCACAACUUUACAGCCACUUUCUUUUCCUUCAUGUGUAAUUUGAUUGUAGCAGUUUUUCAAAUAGUAUUUGACUAUUUGUAAUGGACUUGUGAACUAUUCAAACAGCUUAAAGGUUUAGCAAUCAAAGUUCACAAGUUCUAGUUAUAACAAAUCAUUCUCAAAAUUUUAUUUAACAUUCUCUUGAAUAUUGAUACUUAUUGGCUGCCAAAACAGGAUAUAUGGACAAAAGAAUUUUAGUUAUAACUACAUUCUAGCUUUAAGAUCAUUUUUCAAUUCAUGUUUUUAUUUUCACUGUCAUUGUCAAUGUUUUAAUAUGGUCAAAUUUUACAUCCUUACACAAAUAUAUUAGUGUCAAUUGGAUUCAUAUGCCUCUUUAAAAAAUAAAGAGAUGAAAAUUGCUAAAGACAAAGGCCACAAUUCAUUGGACAUUAUAGAAAUCCAGUAUAAGAAGUUAGAACAUUUAAAGUAUAGACAUCUCAAGUGAUAUUGCUCAAAUGCUGUUAAAUUUAUUCAUUACAAAAUCCAUUUAGCAGGACAUAUUAUAUAUGAGAAACCAUUUCACAAGUCUAUACAUGAAUAACCAUUCUAUGCUAUAAUAACAAAUCAUUUACUAACUCAAAAAAAUAAAAAAUAAAAAUCAUUUACAAAAGAUUUGCUCUAACAAAUCUAAAAGGGAAAAAAUUUCCCAACAAUUUCCUUCUUAAUGUCUUCAAGCUAUGUUAAACAAAUAGACUUUAAACAAUGAUAGCUUAUGAGCAACUAGAGCUUUAGCCUUAGUCCAGAAAAUUGCAGUUUUGCCAAUAGUGCUGUCACAACAUACAAGUCCAUGUUUGAAGCUAGAUGCCGAUCUUGCAAGUAUCCUACACAAUAGUAGACAACAUCAAAAGUUUAGCAACCAAAACAGAGAAAUUUUUAGAAUCCAAAAAUUCAAAACUUUAAAGGUUGCGAAAAGAGAAGACUUUAGUGAGGUUAGUUUUGAGCAAAAAUAAAUCAUGCUAAACUUCAACCAUGAUUCCAAGAUUAAGUUCUUUCUAUUAAGCUCAAGAGAGUACACACUGGUUCAACCCAAAAUUGAAGGAAGAAAUUAAAGGUGAUAUUUUUGUCUAUAGUUUAAGAUUAAAGGGUGAUAUAUAUGUAUAUAACCAAUCAGUGUGAAGGUGUAAUUCUACCUUUUCAAUAAAUAAAAAAAAAAAAGGUGGCAAUUCAAAGGCACCAAAGGCAAGCAAUGGAAAACCAAAUCCAAAUCCUCCAUGUCCAAAUCCAAAAGCCCCUCUGAGAUCUACUACCCCAAGUCAAAGACCAACCAUUUCAUCAACUCAACCAACAAAAACCACCAAAGUUACACCAAUUGUAAACCAAAAACUAGCCACCAAUAUUAGUAGUGAUAAGCAAACGAAUGCAACUACCACUCCAUCAAAAUUCACAAACCAAAGGAAAAUUCAUAAUAAUAAUCCAGUUCAACAAAAUCCAGAACCCAGUCCAAAACCAAGGAAGAAAUCAUGUUCACCAACUGUGACAAGGGGUCCAAAAGCGGAGUUCAAGCAAGAGAAUACAGAAUCAAAUUUUAUACCAUAUUCCAUUUCUCUUUAUUAUGAGUGUGAAAUUUGAAUGAAUUUGUAAGUAAAACAACAACUUUGUGUUUCCGUGAAAUCUUAUGACAUAGCAAAAGCCAAACAUAAUUUUGUAACCCAAAUAACAUCAAACGCCCACUAGUCACUGCCUCCGACAUUCACCAACCCAAACUCACAAAAUCCAAAAAAAAAAAAAAAAAAAAAGAGUUGCCUCCGACAACCCGCCUGUCCUUGGUCAUCGACACAUGCACACCCAACUUGGGUUUCAUACCCAUUAUCAAAAAUCUUAAAAUUUUCAACAUUACUUUAAUCAUAAUCACGAAAUAAAGCGAAUUGAAAAAGAGAUGGGAUCAGAUUACCUUUAGGUGAGGAAAUCUAGGAAAAAACUUUUCAGAAGAUCAUGGUAUUUGUAAAAUGGCAGAGUAUAAGUGGAGAAGAUAUAGGUUCUUUUCGCGGUGUCGUCGUCGAAUUGUCGUCGUCUGGUGGAUUACCGUCGGCUAGAACUGGAAGAGAUAGAGACCAUUAG